rnacentral:rRNA from 1 species
GGGUGCGAUCAUACCAGCACUAAUGCACCGGAUCCCAUCAGAACUCCGAAGUUAAGCGUGCUUGCGCGAGAGUAGUACUAAGAUGGGUGACCCCCUGGGAAGUCCUCGUGUUGCACCCC